rnacentral:rRNA from 1 species
GACGUAGGGGGCCAGCGUUGUUCGGAAUUACUGGGGGUAAAGGGUUCGUAGGCGGUGUAGCAAGUCGGGAGUGAAAUCUCUGGGCUUAACCCAGAGGCUGCUUCCGAAACUGCUGUGCUUGAGUGUGGGAGAGGCGCGUGGAAUUGCAGGUGUAGCGGUGAAAUGCGUAGAUAUCUGCAGGAACACCCGUGGCGAAAGCGGCGCGCUGGACCACUACUGACGCUGAGGCUCGAAAGCAUGGGGAGCAAACAGG